rnacentral:miRNA from 1 species
GAUUUCGGACCAGGCUUCAUUCCC